GCCUUCGUGGUGUAGUGGUCAGCACGCUGGGCGCGUAUUCUAGAGGUCCGUGGUUCGAGUCCCGGUGAAGGCU
rnacentral:tRNA from 1 species